UGCCGGACACUGCGCGACAGACGGUUACGAACCUCGUCAGAUCCGGAAGGAAGCAGCGAUAAGCAAUGCGGUAUGUGUCGUAGUUGAUCCCGGCAACU
rnacentral:SRP_RNA from 2 species